rnacentral:misc_RNA from 1 species
GGGACUACACGGUAUCUAAUCCUGUUCGCUACCCACGCUUUCGUCCAUCAGUGUCAAUGUAUUGUUAGUAAUCUGCCUUCGCAAUCGGUAUUCUAUGUGAUAUCUAUGCAUUUCACCGCUACACCACAUAUUCUAACUACUUC